rnacentral:rRNA from 1 species
CCCGCACAAGCGGUGGAGCAUGUGGUUUAAUUCGAUGCAACGCGAAGAACCUUACCUGGGCUUGACAUCCCGAGAAUCCCCUGGAAACAGGGAGUGCCUUUCGGGGAACUCGGAGACAGGUGCUGCAUGGCUGUCGUCAGCUCGUGUCGUGAGAUGUUGGGUUAAGUCCCGCAACGAGCGCAACCCUUGUCUUUAAUUGCCAGCAUUCAGUUGGGCACUUUAAAGAGACUGCCGGUGUUAAGCCGGAGGAAGGUGGGGAUGACGUCAAGUCCUCAUGGCCUUUAUGCCCAGGGCUACACACAUGCUACAAUGGGUGGUACAAAGAGAUGCCAACUCGCGAGAGCGCGCCAAUCUCAGAAAGCCAUCCUCAGUUCGGAUUGGAGUCUGCAACUCGACUCCAUGAAGUUGGAAUCGCUAGUAAUCGCGGAUCAGCACGCCGCGGUGAAUACGUUCCCGGGCCUU